UGAACGCUGGCGGCAGGCCUAACACAUGCAAGUCGAGCGGUAACAGGGGUACCUUGCUACCCGCUGACGAGCGGCGGACGGGUGAGUAAUGCAUAGGAAUCUGCCCGAUAGUGGGGGAUAACCUGGGGAAACCCAGGCUAAUACCGCAUACGUCCUACGGGAGAAAGGGGGCUUCGGCUCUCGCUAUUGGAUGAGCCUAUGUCGGAUUAGCUAGUUGGUGAGGUAAUGGCUCACCAAGGCAACGAUCCGUAGCUGGUCUGAGAGGAUGAUCAGCCACAUCGGGACUGAAACACGGCCCGAACUCCUACGGGGAGGCAGCAGUGGGGAAUAUUGGACAAUGGGCGAAAGCCUGAUCCAGCCAUGCCGCGUGUGUGAAGAAGGCCCUCGGGUUGUUAAGCACUUUCAGCGAGGAAGAACCCUAGUGGUUAAUACCCAUUAGGAAAGACAUCACCCCCCAAAAAAACCCCCGCUUACUCCUUCCCACAGCCGCGGUUAUUACCGAAGGUUUCAACCGUUUAUCCGAAUUUACUGGGGC
rnacentral:rRNA from 1 species